rnacentral:sRNA from 1 species
UGUUUGCACUUAGCGGGAAGGGUAAGAAGCUUCGACUAAGGUUCGACUCGAGCGCCAGCGAGAGAACGUUGCCGCAGGCAACGGCCCGAAGGGCGAGGCGCUUUAGCGCCGAGUAAUCCUUCCCCCACCACCA